rnacentral:rRNA from 1 species
AGUGAACGCUGGCGGUAGGCCUAACACAUGCAAGUCGAACGGCAGCACAGUAAGAGCUUGCUCUUACGGGUGGCGAGUGGCGGACGGGUGAGGAAUACAUCGGAAUCUACUUUUUCGUGGGGGAUAACGUAGGGAAACUUACGCUAAUACCGCAUACGACCUACGGGUGAAAGCAGGGGAUCUUCGGACCUUGCGCGAUUGAAUGAGCCGAUGUCGGAUUAGCUAGUUGGCGGGGUAAAGGCCCACCAAGGCGACGAUCCGUAGCUGGUCUGAGAGGAUGAUCAGCCACCCUGGAACUGAGACACGGUCCCGACUCCUACGGGAGGCAGCAGUGGGGAAUAUUGGGCAAUGGGCGCAAGCCUGAUCCAGCCAUACCGCGUGGGUGAAGAAGGCCUUCGGGUUGUAAAGCCCUUUUGUUGGGAAAGAAAAGCAGCAGGUUAAUACCCCGCUGUUCUGACGGUACCCAAAGAAUAAGCACCGGCUAACUUCGUG